rnacentral:tRNA from 1 species
CGGGUAGUGGCUGAGUUGCAGGGCUCCCGCUUCCUAUGCGGGAAGACCUGGGUCCGAUUCCUAGCUGCUUAC